rnacentral:rRNA from 1 species
ACGCUGGCGGCAGGCCUAACACAUGCAAGUCGAGCGGUAGAGAGAAGCUUGCUUCUCUUGAGAGCGGCGGACGGGUGAGUAAUGCCUAGGAAUCUGCCUGGUAGUGGGGGAUAACGUUCGGAAACGGACGCUAAUACCGCAUACGUCCUACGGGAGAAAGCAGGGGACCUUCGGGCCUUGCGCUAUCAGAUGAGCCUAGGUCGGAUUAGCUAGUUGGUGAGGUAAUGGCUCACCAAGGCGACGAUCCGUAACUGGUCUGAGAGGAUGAUCAGUCACACUGGAACUGAGACACGGUCCAGACUCCUACGGGAGGCAGCAGUGGGGAAUAUUGGACAAUGGGCGAAAGCCUGAUCCAGCCAUGCCGCGUGUGUGAAGAAGGUCUUCGGAUUGUAAAGCACUUUAAGUUGGGAGGAAGGGCAGUUGCCUAAUACGUAACUGUUUUGACGUUACCGACAGAAUAAGCACCGGCUAACUCUGUGCCAGCAGCCGCGGUAAUACAGAGGGUGCAAGCGUUAAUCGGAAUUACUGGGCGUAAAGCGCGCGUAGGUGGUUUGUUAAGUUGGAUGUGAAAUCCCCGGGCUCAACCUGGGAACUGCAUUCAAAACUGACUGACUAGAGUAUGGUAGAGGGUGGUGGAAUUUCCUGUGUAGCGGUGAAAUGCGUAGAUAUAGGAAGGAACACCAGUGGCGAAGGCGACCACCUGGACUGAUACUGACACUGAGGUGCGAAAGCGUGGGGAGCAAAC